rnacentral:tRNA from 2 species
GCCCAGGUGGCGGAAUUGGUAGACGCGCUGGUCUCAAACACCAGUGAGCUAAAACUCGUACCGGUUCGACUCCGGUCCUGGGCA